GCUAGCGUUGCUCGGAAUCACUGGGCGUAAAGGGUGCGUAGGCGGGUCUUUUAGUCUGGGGUGAAAUCCUGGAGCUCAACUCCAGAACUGCCUUUGAUACUGAAGAUCUUGAGUUCGGGAGAGGUGAGUGGAACUGCGAGUGUAGAGGUGAAAUUCGUAGAUAUUCGCAAGAACACCAGUGGCGAAGGCGGCUCACUGGCCCGGUACUGACGCUGAGGUGCGAAAGCGUGGGGAGCAAACAGG
rnacentral:rRNA from 1 species